AGCGCAGCUGAACACAGUGGGUGAAAUAGGAGCUGGAAACAGAGGAAGGGAAAAGGAGAGCGUGACUCUUCAUCACGUGGAUGAAGGGGCCCUUGCCAGGCUCUCUCCUCUGUGAGGGAUCAGCCUCUGAAGGAGCUGACCAGGAGCAUGCGGGUACCUGCAUGAUGCGGACGUAAUCGGUGCGGUGCAGCUCACUGUCCUUGACCACCUUCUUCUUGAGAGUGGCCAGGUUCCUCUCCAGGUGCUCCCGCUGGCGGGUGUACUCCAGCUGCAGAAAGAGACUGGAAUAUGAUCUCUGAGGUUCUCCCACCCUCAGCAUUGAUUAGGUAGCCAAGGCCUUGAACCACUGACUACAGAUGACCUCUCUGAGCAUGCUCCUUCCCAGCACAAACAAGCCAACGCCGUGAGCACUCCCACCCCUUGGUCACUUCACCCAGUCAUUUCAUAGUGUCAGAUGGAUUCAGCCGUCUCCAUGGGCCUGGGCCUGACAUCUGGCAGGCCUGUG